GCUGUGUGAGUAAGAUUCACUGUGUCUAUGCUCUAUAGUGCGUUGGGUUUGCCGAUUCAGGGUUGUCCGUGGCUGCUGCAAGCGGCGUGGAGUAGAAGAAGGGGUUCUGCGUGGCUGUUGCAGGCAGUGUUGAGCAGAAGAAGGGUUGUUCGUGGAUGCUGCAGGCGGCGUAGAACAGAAGAGGAAUUUAGGAUUUAGGAAUUUUG
rnacentral:lncRNA from 1 species